rnacentral:rRNA from 1 species
GUGUCAGCCGCCGCGGUAAUACGGAGGAUCCAAGCGUUAUCCGGAAUCAUUGGGUUUAAAGGGUCCGUAGGCGGUCAGAUAAGUCAGUGGUGAAAGCCCAUCGCUCAACGGUGGAACGGCCAUUGAUACUGUCUGACUUGAAUUAUUAGGAAGUAACUAGAAUAUGUAGUGUAGCGGUGAAAUGCUUAGAGAUUACAUGGAAUACCAAUUGCGAAGGCAGGUUACUACUAAUUGAUUGACGCUGAUGGACGAAAGCGUGGGUAGCGAACAGGAUUAGAUACCCUGGUAGUCCACGCCGUAAACGAUGGAUACUAGCUGUUGGAAGCAAUUUCAGUGGCUAAGCGAAAGUGAUAAGUAUCCCACCUGGGGAGUACGUUCGCAAGAAUGAA